UGAAGAUGCCCAGACCCUGAGCCCACAUC
rnacentral:piRNA from 1 species